UGGUAUUUCCUCUCAAACUUCAGAAUUUGUGGCUUUUGAACAAUUAUAUGGGGAAAUAUUUGGAUAAGGAUCUGUAGGUGUUAGGCUAGACGGGUAAUAAGCAAGAAUAGGGACAAAAAAUAGUAGGAUGCAACAACUGAUGAAAAACUAUGUAAGAAUUAGAAAAGGGCAAUAUAUUACUUUUUCUCAACUGUUCAAAAA